ACUCUAGUCUGGCACUGUGAAGAGACAUGAGGGGUGUAGAAUAAGUGGGAGGCCCCGCUCGUCGGGUGCCGCCAGUGAAAUACCACUACUCUUAUCGUUUCCUCACUAACCCGGUGAGGCGGGGAGGCGGGCCCCCGGCGGGCUCUCGCUUCUGGCGUCAAGCGCUCCGGGGCCCGCGAGGGUCUCGGGGCCGCGACCCGCUCCGGGGACAGUGGCAGGUGGGGAGU
rnacentral:ncRNA from 1 species